CUUGCAAAUACGAACGUCAAAGUGUAAGAACAAACUUGUUUUGGUGACCAGAAAUAAAUUACCUGCACAAGUCGUUCUUAAAGCUACAGGAUGCAAGAGGAAAGCAUAGUUAGAGCUACAGGAUAUAAGAGGAAAACAUAGUCACACAGGACGAACAAAAGGGAGAGACGAACAAGAUGAUUACAUGAACACAACGUGUCCUAGGUCCUCUCCCGCCGCCCUGGCUACUGCCUGCCCUGCACUCGCGCACGCCGCUCCGCAGCUGUCCCAAGCAUCAACCAUGUGCCUCGCCCGCGCCCUUCAGUAGCCCCACGAGCACCUGGCAGCCGUCACCGGCGCCCUCGCCUGCGAUUCUGCGAUGCCGAGACGAGCGGUCCUGCACCGGGAUGAAUGUAGCUAGAGCGAUGGCCAUGUCUGUACGCGCAGCCGUAGCACGCCCUUGUAGACCACAAAGAGAAAUGAGCAUAAGAGAUGAGGAAAAAAACUACCUGGAUUGCAGCCCCCACUGCCCUAGCUCAGGCACAUUGCCGGCUUGUUUUCUGCUCCUCCAUGAGUCGUGGCGAUUCGAGGGGGCUCCGGGCCUCAGCCGCUUCCGCCUCGACGAUCAACCCUGUCCAGGGCUCGGGGCUUUAUAGAGGACCACCAGGAGCAUCUCGAUGAAGACGAUAGAGACAACGCCGCCGCGGCGACCGAUGCUGGUGAGUUCAGAGGCCAGGAGGUAGAGCGCGAUGGCCACCCCAAACGUAGGCGUGAACCCUGCGCGUCCACCACUUCCCCGCCCGCGUCAUGCUAGUGACGCGCUCCUCGAGGAGGAACACCAUUGAAACGGUGCACAUGGCGGCCUCCCGUCUGGCACGAUGGCGAGCAUGACCAGGAAGGAGGAACAUGCAUGGUCAGGUCGUUAGGAAAUAAGGAGAAGCCCUAGCAGAUCGUGCAUGUAUGGAUGUGUGCAUACCGGUGCGUUGAUUUUGCCUGGUCUAGCGGCAGUUCUGGAUUGCAUAGGAAACGUGCAUGCGUGGGUAGGGUUGUUUCUUUUUUGGUUUUUCCCCUUGUAAACCGGAGGGUUGGAAGUGUGGGAGGUGCUGUAAAAAGAUCGUUGCGGUUCUCGCGAGAGGCGAUCAUGGUCUCGUGGAUGGAUCGUGGGAAGGAGGUGGCCCAAUGAUACGUGUCCAACGAGGUGGGGGGAUCGAACGAGGUGUCGAACCACGAGGGGAGGUCGAACCAUCACGACGUUCGAUCCCCCUUUAAUAGUAGAGAUUUCAGAAAUUAGCCAUGCAUGCCUCAUUCAAUUACACAAGUAAAUAUAGAAAGCCAUGGUGCAACAAGCAUUCCAAAAUAAUAUAUUAUUUAGACACACAAGUAUAACCCAAGACAUGGUGCAGCAAGCAUUCUAAAAUUAUGUAUCAUUCCAUCACAGAGAUUAAUAAACCCUGACUUGGCACACCACAUCUGAACCAUUUGAGGAUAGCAAGCAAACAUCACAUAUGAAAGGAUAGCAGGCAAACAUCACAUAUGACAGGAUAGCACAAAUUAUGGCAAGGCAAAUUUAUUUGCUUAUUCUACCAGCAAACAAACAUCACAUAUGACAGGAUAACACAAAUUAUAGAUGAACAAACCUUGAAUCUGCCUCAGCUAAACAACCUGCAAAUUUAUGAGAGACAAUUUGUUAGCAUCUGAAUAUGUAUCGAAGUUCAUAGCUUGCACUGGUGUAUUUACAAUAUGGCAAUAUUCACAUCUGGUCGAGAUAUGGUGGGGAGGCCAUCGGAUCUGAAUCAUUUGAUGAGACAGAGGGAUAUAUGGGAGAGACGGUGGCUACAGAGGAGGUGACAGGCGACGAGGUAGGGGCCAAAUCGGGUGGGGAGAAGGCAGGGGAUCUCAGUGAGAGAUGCAUCGGGUGAGAGGGACGGGUUCAAAGAGGCAUGGAGGAAGAGGUCUGGCCGGAUGGGGCGUAGGCGGAUGGCCGGAGAUGCAGGCCGACCGGGGAGAUGGGGGCGGGCCGCAUGGGCGAUGGGGGCGGGUGCCGGGGGUGCUGCAUGGGAGAUGUGGAGAGGGAGGAGGCCGGUGCUGGCCGGAGAAGGAAAGGAGGGGGAGGGGCGAGGCCGGGGCUCACCUGCGCCCCCGCGUGCCGCCGCUUCUCCACCUCGUCCCGCGCGAGCCCUUUUCGCUUCUGGGGCGGUCGAGCGAAAUCAGCCCAAAACCGAGCGCCAGAGCAAAGAAUUCUGGAAGAGCGCGCGAAGUGUUCCCAGGCUGCUUCCAAUAUCACGGUCCAAUGUCUAUGACCACCCAAACGCACGCACCCAAUUACACAAUUCUACCCCUCAAUCUCCACAUCCAAACACAGCGGAGUGGGUGGGAGAGGGGGGCACGGUGCUUACGGUGGCGGCGGCGCGCGAGCGCAGGGCUCCUCGGCAUGGCCCUGCGCAGUGGGCUGCGAGGUGGUGGCGCCCGUUGCGGCCGCUCGAUCUGGCUCGGGUCCGAGCGGAUCCGGGCGGCGGAUGGCCUGAUGGCCGCCGAUGGAUCCUCCUACCGCUCCUAGAGGUCUUCCUCGUGCCUCCAUGGGUGCGUGCGGAGGCGGCUUCGUAGAUGUGGGGCUGGUGGCGGCGCGCUCAUCCGGAUCUGACAGCAAGAUCGGGGUGGGAGGCACAGGUUAGGCAGCGGCCUGGUGUGGUUGUUGCUCCGGCCAUGGACGGCGGCGCGGGAAGGUCCGGCACAUGGGCGGUAGCCUACUGGUGGCGUGGCGGCUACACGGUGGCCCGACAGCUCUGCUCACGGCGACGGUCGGCUUCUACUUCGGCGUCGGCUCGUCUGUAAGCGGACUGUUUCGACUUUCACUUCAAC
rnacentral:rRNA from 1 species